rnacentral:rRNA from 1 species
AGAUUGAACGCUGGCGGCAGGCCUAACACAUGCAAGUCGAGCGGUAGAGAGGUGCUUGCACCUCUUGAGAGCGGCGGACGGGUGAGUAAUGCCUAGGAAUCUGCCUAGUGGUGGGGGAUAACGUUCGGAAACGGACGCUAAUACCGCAUACGUCCUACGGGAGAAAGCGGGGGACCUUCGGGCCUCGCGCCAUUAGAUGAGCCUAGGUCGGAUUAGCUAGUUGGUGAGGUAAUGGCUCACCAAGGCGACGAUCCGUAACUGGUCUGAGAGGAUGAUCAGUCACACUGGAACUGAGACACGGUCCAGACUCCUACGGGAGCAGCAGUGGGGAAUAUUGGACAAUGGGCGAAAGCCUGAUCCAGCCAUGCCGCGUGUGGGAAGAAGGUCGUUCGGAUUGUAAAGCACUUUAAGUUGGAGUAAGGUUGUAACUUAAUACGUUGACUAACGUUUGACGUUACCGAACAGAAGUAAGACCACCGACUAACGUUCG